GACGAACGCUGGCGGCGUGCUUAACACAUGCAAGUCGAACGAGACGAUUGAAAGCUUGCUUUCGAAAGUCGCGUGGCAAACGGGUGAGUACAGCGUAGACAACCUGCCUUUGAGAUGCUGACAACAGUUCGAAAGGCCUGCUAAUACCGAAUGUCGUAUAUUUUCAACAUGGAAGAUAUCUUAAAGAUGACCUCUAUUUCUAAGCUACUCCCCAACGCAGGGUCUGCGUCUGAUUAGCUGGUUGGUGGGGUAACGGCCUACCAAGGCGACGAUCAGUAGCCGGUCUGAGAGGAUGAACGGCCACAUUGGGACUGAGACACGGCCCAGACUCCUACGGGAGGCAGCAGUGGGGAAUCUUCCACAAUGGACGAAGGUCUGAUGGAGCAACGCCGCGUGAGUGAAGAAGGGUUUCGGCUCGUAAAGCUCUGUUGUCGGGGACGAAUGUGCAGUAUUUGAAUAAAGUACUGCAAUGACGGUACCUGACGAGGAAGCCACGGCUAACUACGUGCCAGCCGCCGCAGUAA
rnacentral:rRNA from 1 species